CAUUCUUCGUUGUAAAUUGCUUCUAAACACUUCUGAAUUUUAAAUUGCUACCGAGAAGGUCCAGAAACCGUUCUCAUCCAAUUUAGUCACUUUUAUUACAUUCCACUUUGCCUCCCCUAAUCACUGCGGAGGCUCCCAGUUUCAGCGCGGCCGCAUUUUGAAAAGGCUGAAGGUAGAAAACUCUGGAAUGGAGAGGCUGGCGACUGGAGUAGGAUCCAGGGGCUUUAAAUUUUAACCUGAGUGCGAUCGAAUGCGCGACUCCCAGAAGAGAUAGCCAGGCGUCCGCCCGGCCGCUCAACCCCCGCCAGGACUCGGAAUGCCUUGCUUUUGGUUCUUUUCUACAAGGAUGUCUACGUGGAUAUCCCUGGACACUUGAUACCCCCCCGGGGACCUGCUUUUCCCGCAGCUCCGCAGACGCGGCGGGAGGGCGCGCUGGCCCCGGCGCUGCUGGGACAGAGGUGAGCGGCGGGGUGGACAUUGACCGAUUCGACAACGUUCGGGCUCUAAGGGCUCGGGAAGGGACCCAGCAUUUUACUCUCCAGAUUCCCAAUCUAUUUUUUAAAAUAAUGUUCAAAACAUAUGGGAAAAAUAAGUGAUUGCUCCUUUUCAUGGUCACAGAUUGUAUUUAUUUUUUCAGACUGGUUUUCCAACCUAACGAGAGAAUGGGUAG
rnacentral:lncRNA from 1 species